AUACGGAGGAUCCGAGCGUUAUCCGGAUUUAUUGGGUUUAAAGGGUGCGCAGGCGGCCAUUUAAGUCAGCGGUUAAAUCGUGGGGCUCAUCCCCAUUCUGCCGUUGAUACUGGGUGGCUUGAUUGCGGUCGAGGUUGGCGGAAUUCGUUGUGUAGCGGUGAAAUGCAUAGAUAUGACGAAGAACACCGAUUGCGUAGGCAGCUGACCAGACCGCAAAUGACGCUCAUGCACGAAAGUGCGGGGAUCGAACAGGAUUAGAUACCCUGGUAGUCCGCACAGUAAACGAUGAAUACUUGUUUUCGGCGAUAUAAUGUCGGAGGCAAAGCGAAAGCGAUAAGUAUUCCACCUGGGGAGUACGCCGGCAACGGUGAAACUCAAAUGAAUUGGCGGGG
rnacentral:rRNA from 1 species